UAUGUGAUCGUCUCUCGCAUAUCAAUAAGCGGAGGAAAAGAAACUAACAAGGAUUCCCCUAGUAACGGCGAGUGAAGCGGGAAGAGCUCAAAUUUGAAAUCUUAAAGGGUUUCCCUUUACGAAUUGUAGUUUAAAGAAGUGUUUUCUGUUGAGGUUUUGGUAAAAGUUCUUUGGAAUAGGACAUCAUAGAGGGUGAGAAUCCCGUAUUUGACCUUUACUUUCAACUUUGUGAUACACUUUCAAAGAGUCGGAUUGUUUGGGAAUGCAGUCCAAAAUGGGUGGUAAAUUUCAUCUAAAGCUAAAUAUUGGCGAGAGACCGAUAGCGAACAAGUACCGUGAGGGAAAGAUGAAAAGAACUUUGAAAAGAGAGUUAAACAGUACGUGAAAUUGUCAAAAGGGAAGCGUUUGACACCAGUGUUGCUUUUCUGAAAAUCAAUUAAAGAACUGUUUAUGCUAAGCUGUUUAGACUUUAUCAGCUAUCUGUUUAGUUUUGAGCUUUUCUUUAAUGCACUUUUCAGUUAACAAGUCAACAUCAAUUUCUUUUGCUGUAAAAAAGCUUGAGGAAGGUGGCUUGAGAUCCGUCUUAAGUGUUUAUAGCCUCUUGCCUAUGCAGUCGGAGAGAUUGAGGUCUGCAGCGUAGAUCCUUCGGGGCUAAAUGCAUUCGUGCUAAGUUAUAGCAUUUUAUAGACAACUUGUUGACUAUGAUUUGUCUUGUAGCUUACUCGCUUAUGUUAUUUUACCUACGCUUAGGAUGUUGAUCUCUCACAGUCGAGC
rnacentral:rRNA from 1 species